UACGGGGGGGGUAAGCGUUGUUCGGAAUUACUGGGCGUAAAGGGCUCGUAGGCGGCCAACUAAGUCAGACGUGAAAUCCCUCAGCUUAACUGGGGAACUGCGUCUGAGACUGGAUGGCCUGAGUGCAGGAGAGGAACGCGGAAUUCCAGGUGUAGCGGUGAAAUGCGUAGAUAUCUGGAGGAACACCGGUGGCGAAGGCGGCGUUCUGGACCGAGACUGACGCUGAGGCGCGAAAGCGUGGGGAGCAAACAGG
rnacentral:rRNA from 1 species